GCGAGUGAAGCGGGAAAAGCUCAAAUUUAAAAUCUGUCAGUCCUUUGGCUGUCCGAGUUGUAAUCUAGAGAAGUGUUAUCCGCGCUGGACCGUGUACAAGUCUCCUGGAAUGGAGCGUCAUAGAGGGUGAGAAUCCCGUCUUUGACACGGACUGCCAGGGCUUUGUGAUGCGCUCUCAAAGAGUCGAGUUGUUUGGGAAUGCAGCUCAAAAUGGGUGGUAAAUUCCAUCUAAAGCUAAAUAUUGGCGAGAGACCGAUAGCGAACAAGUACCGUGAGGGAAAGAUGAAAAGAACUUUGGAAAGAGAGUUAAACAGUACGUGAAAUUGCUGAAAGGGAAACGCUUGAAGUCAGUCGCGUUGUCCAGGGAUCAACCUUGCUUUUGCUUGGUGUAUUUUCUGGUUGACGGGUCAGCAUCAAUUUUGACUGUUGGAAAAAGAUCAGGGGAAUGUGGCAUC
rnacentral:rRNA from 1 species